rnacentral:rRNA from 1 species
AGAAUCCCGUGAACCAUCGAGUCUUUGAACGCAAGUUGCGCCCGAAGCCAUCUGGCCGAGGGCACGUCUGCCUGGGCGUCACGC